UAAAACUUUAUUGAAAAUGUUGGCCAAAAUCCGUCUCGUUCCGCCUUCUCCCAUUUGCCCUCCAGUGGGCUUCCUCUCAGUCCCACAUGGAAACGCCAAGCAGAGUACCCAGUCUAGCUAUAACGUUAAAACUAACGUGAACGACGCUGGACCAAUUGUAGGACUCCCAAUCACGGCCGGAUGUGAUACAGCCUGGAAUCGAGCCGAUGACUGUAGUGACGACUCUUACACUGACAUCAGUGCCUUAGACAACUCGAAUCCAAUCCAACUGCUGAAGCUCUGUUCACCACCCGACAAAAGUAUAGCUAACCAAUUACCGUUUAAUCAGACGAUGGACAUACGGAACAGAAGAUGCAACUCAACAGACACGGUUGUUGUAUUUGUAGCAGUAAGUGAAUAGUUUGUGUUUACAAUGAUUGAUCAUCUCGCUACAUGGUAGAUGGGUUGGCUGCCAACGAUGUGCGCUCCUCAGCCUGUUGUGGUUCUGGUUGGCCAGACUGCUCGCCAGAGAGACACUGUCAUGGGAGGAAUCAUACAGGGCUUAUUUCAGCAUGUUUCAUCUUGUUAUUGAUACCAUGUUGUCUUUUGAGGUGUUUUGACUGAUUUCAUGUCAACGCAAAUGUAUUUAAAAAAAAAAGAAAGUGUGAUAACUUGCUCACCGUCAACUGUAAUGAUGUAUUUGAAACAACAAGUGGUCAUUGUGCAAAUGUUGUUUUGUUUUUUUCUUCCAAUAAACAUCGGAGACGAAAUAUAGUUUCCACGUUAACAAUCUAA